AACAAGUGUGGAGCAUCUGAAACCUUAAGCCUCAAAUCCUUCUUUGUUGAAAAUUCUAACCUUUACUCUAUUUUGAAAACCCUAAGCCUUUGUUUUCCGUCAAAAACCUUAAGCCUUCACUCUCCAUGAAAAACCCUUGGAAGAUUACCAUAUACCCGCCUUGACCCACAAUUUUUCUUCACUUGCUGGCAAUAGAAUCUCAUAGAUUUGAACAAUAACGAAAUCAGUAGUAUAAUGAGAGGCAAUUGCAGAGGGAUACAUCGCAUCAUAAAAAAACGAGGUGUGCUUUGUUAGAAAACAGAGCAAUUUGGCCUUAUCAUCUAUGAAGCAACCAAGAGUGGAUUGAGGUUUCUUAUCCAUGAUCCAGAUCUGCAGUAUUAAAGCACUAAAUAGCUAGAGGUUUGCAGUAUUAAACCUCAUAGAUCGUCAUAGGUGAAAACACAUCCUUUUUUCAAGGGAGUUAACUGGGACACCCUUGCAUUACAAAAGGUAGGAACAUGCUCUUCUUCUUGAUCUUUAUGAAGAACACAAUUCUUAUGCUUGCAAUUAUGGUGUACACGAAUCACAUGCCCUGCCUUCAUGCCACUUGUUCGUUGUUUCAUUCAUUGUUGCACCAUGAGAUUUUAUUUCAUAGAUGAAUAGCACUUGGAAGAGCAAUCAUGAGAUUUUAUUUCAUAGAUGAAUAACGCUUGGAAGAAGCAAUUUUGUGUUUUGCAUUCUUUAUUUAUUAUUCAGAAUGGGGCUUAUGCUUUGAGGUUGGGACAAAAAUCUUAUGACUGUAAAGUAUUAUUUCUUUUAGUAAAACUUAUGCUGACAUGAUUCGUAAACAACUGAUACCAUUAAUAGGAGCAACUUAUGUAAUGGAUUUCUUUUUAAUUGUGAAGAAUGAGUAGUGAGGCAAGAGAUAGAAGCUAUUUGGAACCUGAGGCUAGGGGUGAUGGGAUUUGUAUGAGAUUUAGAAGAAUCAUAUUGAAAAAAGAGAGUAAGGUGGCGUUGGGAAAGUG